UGAAAGCAAUGAUGUUAUAACACACAGUGAAAUUGAAAAAAAAAACAGACAAAAAAAACGCGCAUUUGCUUCAUUCGAAGAUCAACACACACAAGCAAAUUGUCAGACCAUAUAUGAUAUUUAUUGAUAUAACUUGAAAUCUAUGCAUGGAAAGAGAAUUGUUAAAGAUACGUGUGACAAAAAACUGGUAACCGUGUUUAAUAUGAAAUAAUUCACUUCAUGUCACAUGUGAAUUCAAUGAAAAUUUUGGAAUCAAGCCAUUGUCAGUAGGAACAAAAAUAAAUAUUAAGAGGAUGAUAUAUGUGAUACAAUGAUUCAAAAACUUUGAAGACAAAGAAAUAAAAGAAUUUAAUCAGAGGAAAUCAAAGAUACCAGGCUUAUAGUUGCAUACGUCAGACAGGCGUUUUAGUCUACCCAAUAUUCAUUCUUGACGCUCAACAUUUUUUUAAUAUAAGGCCAAACAAAGUGCGAAGUUGAAGAGCUUUUAGAACAAAUAUUCAGAAAGGACAGGACUGUGAACGUGUGAGAUCAACACAUAAAAGAAAAUUAUCUGGUUAUUGAAGUAUUUUUUAGAUCUAUUCAUAAAAAGUGAGAUGUUUAAAAAUGUGUGUGAAAACUAUAAUUCUAAUAUCCUAUUUUGAUAGGCUGAGAUCCGUUGAUGUGUGUAUUGGUAAGUAUAUGUUUUGCAGAUCUUUGGGAAUGUGCCAAGCAUUCAAUAUUUGCGAUUUUUUUCUAAUAGUGAAAAUCCCGUUUAUAGUAUUUAUUUGUGAACAAUGCUAAUUGAACGGUCCUGAAAUCAUUAUGAAGAUACAGCUGGAGCCAAAGUCAGCCACUACCCGCCAUUCUAUCCCAAGUUAAAAGAAGUCGCAAUAGAAAUAUAUGGUUGGAUUUUUUCAUCAUUUCUGAAUGCUGACUAAUAUUUGGUCAUUAAACCAGAAUCAGGGUAACUUCAAGUCAAGAUAAUAUUCCCCUUUACAACAGCGAAAAUCAUGAUAAUUAAUUACAAAAGAGAGGCAGAUAAUACCAAAGGGAUAUUCAAACUCACAAGUCGAAGACAAAUUGACAACGCUAUUGGAAUAAACGAAAAACGACCGAAAGACAAAACAAAACAUAGAAAACUAUAACGAUUGUACAACACUAACCCAACCAACAACAGGUGUGAUCUCUGGGGUUCAAGAUAAUUAAACAGAAUGUGCUCAACAUGUAGCAACUAUGGUAUCUCUCGUGAAAGUGCAAAGUCGGUGAUAGAUAAAAUUCGAGGAAAAGAGGACUGGAUUUUGGAUUGGAGCAUAAAUGUCGGCAUCUGUGAAAAUGAUAUUCCAUUACGCUCAAAACAAAAUGUGAAGGCGUUCGUUACAUUUGUAAAGAAAUGACCUCCACUUCACCUUUGAAAACCCAGGUUUAAUAUACAGCUUCCUUGUAAGCAGCAACACUUUUCGGUGAAAUCAUGAUAGAAAUGCAUGCUCUGGAAUAUUGCAUGAGUUGGGAGAAAUAUAUUACACACAGAGGUGCUGCUGGAAUGUUCUACACAGAAAUGAAAAGUUCUCAAUCGAUAUGGGAUUCCUUUCAUCAUUUGCAUGCAUACAUAUUAAACAGAGAGAGACACCUAUAUGGGAUUCCUUUUAUCAUUAGUAUGCGUAUGUAUUAAACAGAGACACAAACCGAUAAGCAAUUAAUGGAGGUCACAGACUUUGUAUUAUACCGCAGGAAGACAUGUUACCCUAUCCGGACACAUGAUUCUGGACCGACCAAUAUCUGCUCUUACUCCUAAAGAUUGUUUGCUUGGCAGAGAGGCAGCCAAUCUUCGAUUUGAACCGGGCAAGGAUCGAGCCAAAGACUUCCGACACUCCAGCAGUGGUGCAGCUUCCAUUGACGCAAUUAGGCAACCGCCUUAUCAAAUUGUUGACCAUUUAAAAAGAGAUAUAAAGAGAAAAUAUAUACCGUGUAUUUCAUAGUAUAGAGUAUACAGAGUGACGACGGCUCAACACGUUGACUGCUUUACUCUUUGCUCACUCAUUCCUCAUUAUUAACGUCUUGAAAAAAUAUACGUCACACUUUCUUUCCUAAAAUUAACAAGGUAGAUGCAAAUAUCUUUUUUAAGGAACAGACAAAGUAUACCUCGCAAAAAACUGUUUCAAACAAGAGGUCAUAACUGUGAAACUGACAUGAUGCUUGAUUUUUGUUUUUUGAAAAUAAACUUGUUACUUUAUUUGGA